UACGUAGGGGGCUAGCGUUGUCCGGAUUUAUUGGGCGUAAAGAGCGUGUAGGCGGCCAGGUAGGUCUGCUGUGAAAACUCGAGGCUCAACCUCGAGACGUCGGCGGAAACCAUCUGGCUAGAGUCCGGAAGAGGAGAGUGGAAUUCCUGGUGUAGCGGUGAAAUGCGCAGAUAUCUGGAGGAACACCGGUGGCGAAGGCGGCAUCCUGGACCGGUAUUGACGCUGAGGCGCGAAAGCUAGGGGAGCAAACGGGG
rnacentral:rRNA from 1 species